rnacentral:rRNA from 1 species
UACGGGGGGGGCAAGCGUUGUUCGGAAUUACUGGGCGUAAAGGGUUCGUAGGUGGCCAACUAAGUCAGACGUGAAAUCCCUCAGCUUAACUGGAGAACUGCGUCUGAGACUGGAUGGCUUGAGUGCAGGAGAGGAACGCGGAAUUCCAGGUGUAGCGGUGAAAUGCGUAGAUAUCUGGAGGAACACCGGUGGCGAAGGCGGCGUUCUGGACUGCUACUGACACUGAGGAACGAAAGCCAGGGGAGCAAACGGG